rnacentral:lncRNA from 1 species
AAUCCCACAAUAUCUGUUUUGAACUGGGACCCUUUCCACACAGCUGGAUAAAAUCCAACAUUUUCUGCUUUGGCAGUGUGGACUCAGAUAACCCAGUUCAAAGCAGAUAUUGUGGGAUUUUCUGCCUUGAUAUUCUAGGUUAUAUGACUGUGUGGAAGGGCUCUGGCCUAUUGGAAUCCAAACUGACAUACUGUAUAUUCCAGUUCAAAACAGAAAAUGUGGGAUUUUAUUCAGCUGUGUGGAAGGGGCUGAAGUGACCAGGUUCAUUCAGGUCAAAGGAAAUUUAGUAUAAUGCCAAGUUUUUAACUUUGUUUGUGGCUUUUAAAUACAUUAUAACUGUAUUUUCAAUUCGCUUCUGACACAAUAAAUUAAUAAAUUAAUUGUAUUUAUAUUAUUUUUAGUUUUGUUGUCUUUUUUAUGGUUGUUUUAGACUAUAUAAAAACGUGUGGCUUCACAAAAGAUGCUCUACCCUUGUUUUCAGCCUGACCUACCUUGUGAGCACUGCUGAGGGAAUACAAUGGUGAGGGACCACUGAGGUCCUUGAGGGCAAAGAGCAUUUUGAAACUGGCAAUCCUUAGAAUGAGGUGAUAGAGUCUGCACCCAUUUCCGAAAUCUCACUUCGAGCCUCCUUUUCGGUUCACUGACCUUUCUCUGCCUCCCUGAGCACAAAGCAUCUCCCCUCAGGGCGGGCCUUGAUAACCAACCAUUCCCGGUCCUUAAGGGACUGCUGCUCUCUCUGAGGGGAAACUCAAGCAAUGAGGCGAGGGAACGAAAGCGGCGUGACGUCGGGCCGCUAGGGGGAGCGCGCGAGACACUCAGUGCGCGAGUGCGUGCGUGUGUGCGCGCGCGCUCGUCUAAGAUGGUACCAAACUCGGCCCUGUUCAAGGCUUUCUCGAAGGCGGCUCCCGAAGCCAUCUCCGCGCGCUCUACUGCGCGCAAGGCUUCACGGGAAUUGUAGUACCGCGCCUCCUUUCGUGUGGAAACACAGAGCGGGUAUGGCGGGAGGACAGCAGCAGACGGUGGGAAGGCGCCGUCCGUCCGCCAUUUUGUUUCCUUGUGGUCCAACCAACGGUCAGAUAUUCCCACCUCAACAUCUUUGAACUUACUCGCCCAACGAUGCACAGUGCUCACAUCAACACAAUCACCACAAAUGGUUUGCAUUCUCUGAUGAAUCUCCUUUGGGGUGACACUUUCUGCUGUCAAGAAUUCAAUGACUGCAUGUUGCUUAAGUCGCAUUGACCGACCGUCUGCACAGGGUUCCAUACUUUGCAC